CGGGUGAGUAACGCGUAGGAAUCUGCCUAGUAGUGGGGGAUAACUUGUGGAAACGCAAGCUAAUACCGCAUACGCCCUACGGGGGAAAGAAGGCCUCUUCUUGAAAGCUUUCACUAUUAGAUGAGCCUGCGUUGGAUUAGCUAGUUGGUAGGGUAAGAGCCUACCAAGGCUACGAUCCAUAGCUGGUCUGAGAGGAUGAUCAGCCACACUGGGACUGAGACACGGCCCAGACUCC
rnacentral:rRNA from 1 species